rnacentral:rRNA from 1 species
UACGUAGGGUGCGAGCGUUAAUCGGAAUUACUGGGCGUAAAGUGUGCGCAGGUGGCCGCGCAAGUCGAGUGUGAAAAUCCCCCGAGCUUAACUUGGGAAUUGCGCUCGAAACUACGUGGCUCGAGUGUGGCAGAGGAAGGUGGAAUUCCACGUGUAGCGGUGAAAAUGCGUAGAGAUGUGGAGGAACACCGAUGGCGAAGGCAGCCUUCUGGGCCAACACUGACGCUCAUGCACGAAAGCGUGGGGAGCAAACAGG